rnacentral:lncRNA from 1 species
CGGAGCUCAGGCAGUAAUAUUUGCUCACCCUGCCCCCCAUCACCUCCUGUUGUGCGGCCCGGUUCCUAGCAGGCCACGGACUGCCUCCUGCUUUGCACUGCUUCAGAAGUUGGCAAACAUCUUGAGGGAAGCCUGGCUCUGUUGACACUCCUGGUCUCCAGUUUUGACAUCCUAGCCCCAGAUGAUGCACCUAAAGUUGAAAAGCUGACUUCCACCUCCUGGGCAACGUGGCUCAGGUUUGUGCGCAGGUCAAGACAAAACUGAUGUCAACACCAGGAAUGAAGGAGAAAUCUGUGGCUUAAUGAAGGUGGAGACCCAGCGUGAAGGAGGCUGUGUCUGUAAGGCAGGGAAAAAAGCCUUCACCAGGAACCAGUGCUGGCACCCUGAUGUCAGACUUCAAGCCUCCAAAGCUGUGAGGGUACUGGUAGCCGCAUAAAACAAGUUGGGGCAUAUUCCAACAAAAUAGAACAUUUUGUGAAAGAGUGUAUAUGAAAAAGUUACUUCUUCCUUGAAUGUGUAAUAGAAUUCACCAGUGGAACCACCAGGGAUUGACAAUUUCUUUAUGGGGUGGACCUUCCCACGAGAUCUGGAGUUAUUUCCCUGUGCCUCUCCUCUCAGAAAUUCAUCCUGCAAAUUCUAUUCAACUUGGUCUCCCUUGAAACUCAGCAACAUCUCCUCAACUCAGAAACUCUGCCAGACUCAGCUUUAGUUUCCCCUACCUGAAUUGCAGUCUGGAAACUCAAAUAAGUAAAUUGAGAAAAUCACA